rnacentral:misc_RNA from 1 species
AAGUCGUAACAAGGUUUCCGUAGGUGAACCUGCGGAAGGAUCAUUAACACGUAUCCAAACGUUAAAACCCCCCCCGUGAACUUUCAAUCCUGCUCUUGUAACCCGCGUAGUUCCGCAAUCUCUGGUAAAUCAUAGCCCGGCAGUUGUUCGGUUUUUUUACCCAAGCUUUACAUUAAACUGUGGGUUGUAAGGGGGCAUGGGGACCCUUUGGCAUAGCUCCUGCCCGAGUGUACGGUCUACAGGGAAGCGCUAUCCUUGCACAAUCAAUGACACUUUCCGACACUGACUGCUUGGGGAAACAAUGCCUAUGAAACUACCGCUCGAUUGUAACUGUUCCAUUGUUCUCACGUAGCCAGAGGUCUCUGAAUCAAAACAACUUUCUUAACAAUGGAUAUCUUGGUUCUC